rnacentral:rRNA from 1 species
GGGGAAAAAUAAAUUCCAAAUUGAUUCAAGCUGGCACCUUGGACGGUACCUUACCCAGACAUUCCACGGCUUAUCUCCGUGGCAAGAAGCCGCCGUUAUUAGGUUUGUUGGCAAGCGUUUAUCCGGAAUUUAUUGAGCUUAAAGCGCGUGCAGGUGGUUUCAUAAAGUCUGAUGUGAAAAGCCCGCGGCUCAACCGUGAAGGGUCAUUGGAAACUGGGAGACUUGAGUGCAGAAGAGGAAGAGUUGAAUUUCCAUGUGUAGCGAUGAAAUGCGUAGAGAUAUGGAGGAACUCCAGUGGCGAAGGCGACUCUCUGGUCUGUAACUGACACUGAGGCGCGAAAGCGUGAGGAGCAAACAGGAUUAGAUACCCUGGUAGUCCACGCCGUAAACGAUGAGUGCUAAGUGUUAGAGGGUUUCCGCCCUUUAGUGCUGAAGUUAACGCAUUAAGCACUCCGCCUGGGGAGUACGGCCGCAAGGCUGAAACUCAAAGGAAUUGACGGGGGCCCGCACAAGCGGUGGAGCAUGUGGUUUAAUUCGAAGCAACGCGAAGAACCUUACCAGGUCUUGACAUCCUCUGAAAACCCUAGAGAUAGGGCUUUUCCUUCGGGAGCAGAGUGACAGGUGGUGCAUGGUUGUCGUCAGCUCGUGUCGUGAGAUGUUGGGUUAAGUCCCGCAACGAGCGCAACCCUUGAUCUUAGUUGCCAUCAUUAAGUUGGGCACUCUAAGGUGACUGCCGGUGACAAACCGGAGGAAGGUGGGGAUGACGUCAAAUCAUCAUGCCCCUUAUGACCUGGGCUACACACGGUUGCUACAAUGGACGGUACAAAGAGCUGCAAGACCGCGAGGUGGAGCUAAUCUCACAAAUCCGUUCUCAGUUCGGAUUCAAGGCUGCAACUUGCCUGCACGAAGCUGGAAUCGCUAGUAAUCGCGGAUCAGCCUAUUCCGGUUCAUCGGUUACCGAGCCUGGCUCAGGCUGACCGUCACACCACGAGAGUUUGUAACACCCGAAGUCGGUGGGGUAACCUUUAUGGAGCCAGCCGCCUAAGGUUGGUUAGUCGACAGACAGAAAUUGAGCGACGCUCAGCACGCAUCGGAAACCUACCC